AUUGAACGCUGGCGGCAGGCCUAACACAUGCAAGUCGAGCGGAUGAAGGGAGCUUGCUCCUGGAUUCAGCGGCGGACGGGUGAGUAAUGCCUAGGAAUCUGCCUGGUAUUGGGGGAUAACGUCCGGAAACGGGCGCUAAUACCGAAUACGUCCUGAGCGAGCAAGUGGGGGUUCUUCGGAUCUCACGCUAUCCGAUGAGCCUAGGUCGGAUUAGCUAGUUGGUGGGGUAACGGCCUACUAAGGCGACGAUCCGUAACUGGUCUGAGAGGAUGAUUAGUCACACUGGAACUGAGACACGGUCCAGACUCCUAAAGGAGGCAGCAGGAGGGAAUAUUGGGCGAUGGGCGAAAGCCUGAUACAGCCGAGCCGCGUGAGUGAGGAAGGGCUUCGGAGUGUAAAGCACUUUAAGUUGGGAGAAAGGGCAGUAAGUUAAUACCUUGCUGUUUUGAAGUUACCAACUGAAUAAGCACCGGCUAACUUCGUG
rnacentral:rRNA from 1 species